rnacentral:rRNA from 1 species
GAUGAACGCUGGCGGCGUGCCUAAUACAUGCAAGUCGAGCGAACGGACGAGAAGCUUGCUUCUCUGAUGUUAGCGGCGGACGGGAGAGUAACACGUGGAUAACCUCCUUAUCAGACUGGGAUAACUUCGGGAAACCGGAGCUAAUACCGGAUAAUAUUUUGAACCGCAUGGUUCAAAAGUGAAAGACGGUCUUGCUGUCACUUAUAGCUGGUUACGCGCUGCAUUAGCUAGUUGGUAAGGUAACGGCUUACCAAGGCAACGAUGCAUAGCCGACCUGAGGGGGGGAUCGGCCACACUGGAACUGAGACACGGUCCAGACUCCUACGGGAGGCAGCAGUAGGGAAUGUUCCGCAAUGGGCGAAAGCCUGACGGAGCAACGCCGCGCGAGUGAUGAAGGUCUUCGGAUCGUAAAACUCUGUUAUUAGGGAAGAACAGAUGUGGAAGUAACUGUGCACAUCUUGACGGUACCGAAUCAGAAAGCCCCGGCUAACUACGUG